rnacentral:lncRNA from 1 species
AUCGCUGGAAAGUAAAGGCAAAAGUCAUCCCUAUGGAGAGAUUGUCAAGGUUGCUCUCUUGGUCUGUCAGCUACCCCUCACAGGUGGGGUGAUAUCAUUCCUGACAGUGUGGCAAAAUGAGGACAGUGAGCGCAGAAACUGGAGAAUUAGUCUAUCUGUUGAAAAUAAUGCUUUUUAUUUUCUAUUUGUGUGAACAGGAAUGGAUUUUCUGCUGGGAAGCCCGCGGUAUCAUGCCAAUGGAAACAGACUCAAUGACUAGAUAACAGAAGACCUUGAUGUUUUUGUGCAAGUGGAGAAAGGAACGUUGUGUCUCACCAAGGAGAAAGGGGAAAGGAGCAGAAAGGGAAUUCAGAGGACAUCCUAAUUAAAAAUGAAAAUGGAUCAUCACACAAGUAGCUUAUUAUGAGCUGUAAAACCCCAUGAAAAAUGAAUAUAAUCUUUCUCAAGCAGGCUUUUGGAGGCACUAGGCAAGUGAGGGUGACACAGUCUGUGGUUUGCAUGGACAUUCAGGAUGGAGUUUCACAUUCAGGUUUCUGUGGCCUUGGACCUUGGCAGAAAUGGGAUUGGGGCCCAAGGGUUCACCAGAGUGGUUCAUUUGUUAAAAUUUAUGAACCUACAUUGAGACAUCGUUAUCACCCAAAGGCUGUAGUUUGUAUUAGGGUGUUGUACAUUGGUGUUGUACAUCUUGGUGUUGUACAUUCUAUGGGUUUGGACAAAUGUAUAACGACGUGUAUCCAUCAUUACAGUAUUACAUAGAGUAUUUUCACUACCCUAAAAAUCCUCUGUGCUGCACUUAUUCCUCCUUCCUUACUCCAACUCUUGGCAACCACUGAUCUUUUUACUGUGU